rnacentral:rRNA from 1 species
UCCGUAGGUGAACCUGCGGAGGGAUCAUUACACAAUAUGAAAGCGGGCUGGAAUCCUUUGGGGUUACAGCCUUGCUGAAUUAUUCACCCGUGUCUUUUGCGUACUUCUUGUUUCCUUGGUGGGUUCGCCCACCAUAGGACAAACCAUUAAACCUUUUGUAAUUGCAAUCAGCGUCAGUAAAAAAAUUAAUAAUUACAACUUUUAACAACGGAUCUCUUGGUUCUGGCAUCGAUGAAGAACGCAGCGAAAUGCGAUAAGUAGUGUGAAUUGCAGAAUUCAGUGAAUCAUCGAAUCUUUGAACGCACAUUGCGCCCUUUGGUAUUCCAAAGGGCAUGCCUGUUCGAGCGUCAUUUGUACCCUCAAGCUUUGCUUGGUGUUGGGCGUCUUGUCUCCAGUUCGCUGGAGACUCGCCUUAAAGUAAUUGGCAGCCGGCCUACUGGUUUCGGAGCGCAGCACAAGUCGCGCUCUCUUCCAGCGAAGGUCAGCAUCCACAAAGCCUUUUUUCAACUUUUGACCUCGGAUCAGGUAGGGAUACCCGCUGAACUUAAGCAUAUCAAUAAGCGGAGGA